rnacentral:tRNA from 1 species
ACUUAGCUGGCUCAGUUGGUAGAGCAUUCAACUCUUGAUCUCAGGGUUGUGAGUUCAAGCCCCAUGUUGGGUA